GGGAAUGUGACUUAGUAAUAGAGUGCUUGCCUACAAUGCAUGAAGCCCCAGGUUUGAUUCCUCAAUACCA
rfam:Dipodomys ordii contig_87157, whole genome shotgun sequence.